GAUGAACGCUGGCGGCGUGCUUAACACAUGCAAGUCGAACGAAGAUGCCGGAGUGCUUGCACUUUGGCAGACUGAGUGGCGGACGGGUGAGUAACGCGUGGGUAACCUGCCUUAUACAGGGGGAUAACAGUUGGAAACGACUGCUAAUACCGCAUAAGCGCACGGUAUCGCAUGAUACAGUGUGAAAAACUCCGGUGGUAUAAGAUGGACCCGCGUCUGAUUAGCUUGUUGGUGAGGUAACGGCCCACCAAGGCGACGAUCAGUAGCCGGCCUGAGAGGGUGAACGGCCACAUUGGGACUGAGACACGGCCCAAAACUCCUACGGGAGGCAGCAGUGGGGAAUAUUGCACAAUGGGGGAAACCCUGAUGCAGCGACGCCGCGUGAGUGAUGAAGUAUUCGGUAUGUAAAACUCUAUCAGCAGGGAAGAUAAUGACGGUACCUGACUAAGAAGCACCGGCUAAAUACGUG
rnacentral:rRNA from 1 species